rnacentral:tRNA from 1 species
UCCUCGUUAGCUCAGUUGGUAGAGCAGCGCACUUUUAAUGCGCGAGUCGUUGGUUCGAUCCCAACACGGGGAA